UACGAAGGGGGCUAGCGUUGCUCGGAAUCACUGGGCGUAAAGCGCACGUAGGCGGACUCUUAAGUCAGGGGUGAAAUCCUGGAGCUCAACUCCAGAACUGCCUUUGAUACUGGGAGUCUUGAGUUCGGGAGAGGUGAGUGGAACUGCGAGUGUAGAGGUGAAAUUCGUAGAUAUUAGGAAGAACACCAGUGGCGAAGGCGGCUCACUGGCCCGGUACUGACGCUGAGGCGCGAAAGCGUGGGGAGCAAACAGG
rnacentral:rRNA from 1 species